rnacentral:misc_RNA from 1 species
GAUGAAGAACGUAUCGAAAUGCGAUAAGUAAUGUGAAUUGCAGAAUUCAGUGAAUCAUCGAAUCUUUGAACGCACCUUGCACCCUUUGGCAUUCCGAAGGGUAUGCUCGUUUGAGUGUCAUUGUACUCUCACACUUCCAAUCUUUGGAUUGGGAGCAGUGGACUUGGGUGUUGCUGCUUACUGUGGCUCACCUCAAAUCGAUUCGUGCACCUCUUGGUUGGACAUAGUACGGCGUGAUAAGUGUCUUCGCCGGCACCUCAGUAGAGGGUGGCUGAUCAGGAGCUCUGUGCUUCAAACCGUCCUCGGACAACAACUGACAACUUGGCCUCAAAUCGAGUAGGACUACCCGCUGAACUUAAGCAUAUCAAUAAGCGGAGGA